rnacentral:misc_RNA from 1 species
AAGAUUUACUCGCUCUAAUUAGCAACUUCAUUCUUAAAUAAAUGGCAGCUGAGCUGCAAAAUUUUCUCGCAGGAACAACAAAUAUUGAGCUAACAAGGGUUUGGUUUUUAGGGUUUUUAUCAUGCUGCAGCCUGUUUUUUUAAAGCUACCCUUGAAAGGCAGCCGCAUGAAGGAGAUAAGCUUACAGAUUCAUCACGCUCCUCGACAAUAGCUUCUUGGGUCUUGCUCGGCAACAAGUUCC